GACGAACGCUGGCGGCGUGCUUAACACAUGCAAGUCGAACGGACAGGCCCUGCUCUUGCGGCGCUCUCGAGUGGCGAACGCGUGAGUAACACGUGAGUAACCCGUCCCUGACAUUGGGGUAUCAUCUCGAAACAGGGGCGAUUAUAGGAUAGGAUCUCUUGCUGCACGGUGGGGGUUGGAAAGAUUCGGCGGUUCGGGAUGUACUGGAGGCUUAUCAGCUUGUUGGGGGGGUAGUGGCUUACCAAGGGUUUGACGGGUAGCCGGCCUGGGAGGGUGACCGGGCACAUUGGGCCUGCGGGACGGCGCAGACUCCUACGGGAGGCAGCAGUGGGGAAUAUUGCGGAGUGGGCGGGAGCCUGAUGCAGCAACGCCGCGUGCGGGAUGACGGCUUUCGAGUUGUGAACCAAUUUGGCCUGUAACGAGGCGUUAGUGACGGUAAUGGGUAAGGAAGCACCGGCUAACUACGUG
rnacentral:rRNA from 1 species